rnacentral:rRNA from 1 species
UACGUAGGUGGCAAGCGUUGUUCGGAAUUAUUGGGCGUAAAGGGCGCGUAGGCGGUUUGUUAAGUCGGUUGUGAAAGCCCGGGGCUCAACCCCGGAGGGUCAGCCGAUACUGGCAGGCUAGAGUACGGAAGAGGUAGCUGGAAUUCCUGGUGUAGCGGUGAAAUGCGCAGAUAUCAGGAAGAACACCCGUGGCGAAAGCGGCUCUCUGGAACGGUACUGACGCUGAGACGCGAAAGCCAGGGGAGCAAACGGG